CCCCUUUUGUAAUUCUCUGCUGCUUUUUUACUUUUUCCAGACGAUGGCUAGUCUGAAUUACCAGACGGUAGUGCAGGGGGAGGCCUCAGAAACGGACUCGGAUGAAGAGCUCGGGCCCACGGCUGCCGCAGCAGCACCUCUGGCGUGUGGUGUGAAGGUGCCUGGGGAGGCCUCGGAAACGGAGAGCGAGGAAGAGGAGCAGGAGGAGGCAGAAGAUCAGCCGGUACACGGGGACCUGCCCCCUCUAAUUGUUAUCCGAAACCCGGCUGACCAUCUCCCAUCGGCUAUGGAGGAGAAGCCGGUGUUCAGAGGGGAUCCCGAAGGCCGCUGUAGCACCCUGCUGCAGCAGAAACUGCAGGAAAGCAAUGGCCGUCUGUACUGCGAUGUCGGCGGCCUGGUCCGGCAGGUGUACCAGAACGCCGCCAAGGACAUCCGUGCCGCCACCGUCCACCUCAACAACUCACAGAAUGGCAUCAUCGGCGCGUCCCACAGCAUACGCCUCAUCCUGGAAGACCUCAAGAGCAUCUCGGAGAAGAUGGACAUCAUCACCAGCUGCAACCUGCUGCCAGACAUUCGCAUUUAGAUGACAGCUCUGCUUUGGAGGGAGAUGAGGCCAAGCAAAUGCAGUUGUGUGACCGAGAGGUCCAAGAGUGGCCAUUUGUGGUGUUUUAAACUUUAAAUGUCUACUCCUUCACAGUCAACUUGAUGGUUUGCAUAGACAUCUGUGCACAAGUAGUCGAUAAAAUCAGAUGAAGUAGGUGCAGAAAUCUCAGUUUUAGACAAGUAAAUGGACCUCAUUAAAUGGCAGAGUUCAGAGACGCUGUGGCCAAUGGAAAAGGAAAAGUGUUUGAAAGGGUCUGAGGGGACGUUGGGGUGGACUGGCAACUUAGUAACGACCUGAAGAGACGGGCAGCAUGCAGAGUGCCCUCUGAACCGGAUGAGAGAUCAUCCUUCACCUUCAGGCAGAAGGGGCAAGCCAAACACUGGAGUCCCUGGCCGUGCCAACAAAUGAGCCUCCUUUAGUGGACCCAGUAUAUCGGUGCCCUUGUGGGCAGGAGUGGGCAGUCAACUCCAUUUUAUACAUUGUGGCCCUGAGUGGUAAAGUUGCAGCAUUGGGACUGGCACUCUGAUCAUAAUGGGUAGUGCUGAAGCCUGCCCACUGUGUCCCGUUGUUGGCUCUGAGGAUUUGAUUUAUUUAUUAUUAUU